GUGGCUCAUUCACCUUCUUAUGUCAGCCCCUUCGGGACGCGCUACAUAAACUUCGAAUGACGCACAAACAGGUGCCUGCCGUCCAACUCCUGAUAAUAGCCUGGCUUUAUCAGACAUCGGGCGAAACGUCGAGUAAGGCACCGCCUCAUUCCUGAACAAAGCCAGGCCUUGCGCCUGGCUUUGUUGU
rnacentral:misc_RNA from 1 species